rnacentral:lncRNA from 1 species
CAGAGUUUAUCAACUACUGCCCUGAAGGGCGCUUUUCUGUUUUAGCUGCUUUCAAGCAAAUCUGUGUCUUUUAGAAUUGUCAACCUUCAGCUCUUUUUGGUUGGGCAAAAUUAAACAGUUCUAUUUUUAAUAACAGCGAAGAAACAUAUGUAUUUAAUAUUGGGAUCAUUUACCACGAGCGAUUACAUGAGGCAUGGUUUCUUAAACGCUAAAGUGGCUUAAAAAAGGGAAUUUAGUUGGAUAUAAAAGUAAAUUUCAGAGCAAAGUCUGAAAUGGAUGUUACAUGAGUCAUUUUAAGGGAUGCACACAACUAUGAACAUUUCUGAAGAUUUUUUCUCAGUAAAGUAGAUAAAGAUGGAUGAAUCAGCCUUGUUGGAUCUUUUGGAGUGUCCGGUGUGUCUAGAGCGCCUUGAUGCUUCUGCGAAGGUCUUGCCUUGCCAGCAUACGUUUUGCAAGCGAUGUUUGCUGGGGAUCGUAGGUUCUCGAAAUGAACUCAGAUGUCCCGAGUGCAGGACUCUUGUUGGCUCGGGUGUCGAGGAGCUUCCCAGUAACAUCUUGCUGGUCAGACUUCUGGAUGGCAUCAAACAGAGG